CGCCAGAUAGCUGAGUUAGUAGAGCACCUGCCUAGAGAUUCAGGGGGCUCGGGUUCAAAUCCCGGUCUGGUCC
rfam:Crassostrea gigas strain 05x7-T-G4-1.051#20 contig5584, whole genome shotgun sequence.